rnacentral:lncRNA from 1 species
GUAGCAAACUGUUGCCCAUUUUUGGCGGCAGCACGUUGCCUUAAAAGGUAGCGUGUUGUUGUCUUUACUUUUUUUAAAAAAUAUAUGCUCGGUUUUUUCGAGUCGUCGAGCCACACGGGCUGGUUCGGGCUUUGUCCGGUACCUAAAAAUGGGACUUGGACAGAGUCUCGAGCUUUUUCCGAGUCGACGAGCCCGAUUGCUAUUCCUAUUAACAGGUGAUAAUGUUUUCUUUUUAGGUCUUUUGACACAAAGGUGAAGGUUUGUUAAGCAAAUUGUUGCCAAAUAACCUCCCCGGGCUAUAAUGUAACUUGGUAAUUUUCUCAAUCGGCAUCGAUCUAAUAAUUGAAGGAUAGAUUGACGCCAAAGUGAAAUGACUUGAUCUAAAAACUGUUUGGGCCAUUUGAAACAGCCUAAUUUUAAUUAGAGCUGCUUACGGCCCAUUUCGCGGCUAAUAUUAGAUAACCCAUUUAUGUGCCCAUUUAUAUCCAUAAUGGGCUCGACACCCUAAUUGAUACCUAUAUAUUCUUUGGGGCACUUGUCCUCUUGGUAAUAUGAAUUCACCCCUUUCUCUCUUCUCCGUGUGGGACUCUCUCUGUGUGGGUCUUUCUUACCGUUUUCUUCAUUGCCUUCGUGGUUAUCUCUCAUCUUCAUGAUUAUACUUUUCAUUACACAUCUUAAGUGGGUGAACUAAAGAGCAACUGUGAUCAAGAGGGUGGUUUGAGGGAUUUUGGAUGAUUUGCAUAUUGGUGUUGAUUUGAGGAGAAACUGAGCCCGGUUCAAGCCUUGGUGGUCAUCAUCUUCUGCACAACACUGUCACUCUCUUAAGUUACUUGGGGUUUCUUGGUAACUCUUGAUUCUAAGAUUAUACGAGAUGAUAAUUCAGAUAUGUCAUACUGAAUUGGAAGUCAACUUGUACAAAGAAUGUCAAGAAGGAAACUCUUCUGACAAGUUAUUUAAAUGGCUUAGAAAUCAGCAUAAAUUAUUACAGAAUUUUGGUGAUAAAUAACUAACUGGAAUAUCCCUUUUUUUCCCUUAAUAAAAAGUAAUUGGUUUAUCUUGUGUGUAUACUAUAACUUAGAGACAUUUCAGAAAUACUAAUAUAUGGUCUUGCUCUUGCUGUAUUGUGAAGAUUAGAUGAUUUCAGAAGUAAGAAAUUGGAGCUUCACUUUUACCUCAAUAAAAAGGCUUUCUCUUGAUAUUAUUUUUUAACCUGAUUCAGAAGCCCAUAACAAAAAUGACAAUGAGAAGCCAAUCUUCCAGCUUAUGAUCAUCUGUCAUUCUUAUGCAAAAGAAAUUUCUUGCAAUUAGGUUGUCAAUGUCUCAGGGUUCAUUAAUAUCUACCAUGAUUAACAUCCUUAUGAAUUGAAUCUGAAAAUAAUUAAAUUUGACAACUUAAAAACUUUAAUUGAGAUACUUGUGUUUUGCAUCUUGAGCAGAAUUAUAAAAACUAAAUUUUGGUUUAGCUUUCUUCGAAUUGGAUUUUUAGUUUUUGAAUUUCUAAUUCUUGAAAUAAAAUUGAAUAAACUAAAUUCAUUCAUUUUAUACAUCAAUUAAUUUGUGUGACAUUAUAAGUAAUAUUCAUGUUUAGUACAUUCUUUCACAUAUAGGUGGGAAUGCAUGAACUCACUUAUUGACGAAGAGAUAUUUCAUAAAUAGGGUGGAGUUAUAGGCUUAUAGUAGAUAUCUUGGGCACAUUCCAAAUGAAUUACAUCUGAUAUUGACAUAGAAAGCCUUCUCACAAGAAAAAGUAAAUCUCAUAGUAAAUUUAAUGAUUUGAGAUAUGGUCGAACUAGUUUAGUUAAAAUUUAACACGAUUGUGUAAUUGAGAGUGAAUAAAGGAAUGAUGUGUUCUCAGUCAAACAAAGUGAGAAGAGGAAGGUUAGAGCAAAAUUAAUGUCAUGUUGCUUUAAUCUUCCAUUUGAUUAGAGCAAAAUUAAUAUGUCAUGUUGCUUUAAUCUUCAUUUGAUUGGAAUUGAACCGAAAUGCGUAAAAGGAUUUAUGUACUUGAAGCCGGCUUAGCCAUUGGCUAUUGACUCAUCCCCUUGUCUACAAUCCUUAGGUCUAUUGGUGCCUUCUCUAAGACCCAUGGUAUACUCUUAUCAGUUAACAUUUAAUACCUCUCUCCUCACUUUCACUAAGGAAAUGCUCUUGAGCAUGGCUUUACCUAGCCGACCUCAAAUUUAUCGGAAGGAGGCUUACUUUGUUGUUGUUGUUGUUGUUGUUGUUGUUGUGUAUAUAUAUGUAUAUUUUAGCGUCAACUCAAGCCUCUGUACUUAUUUGUGCCCAUACCAUUUCUGAUGAGUUUCCUUGGUUCUUUUGCCACAGGUACAAAUUUCCGAGAACAAGUGUAUGAAUGUUUUUAGACAUGCUACUAAUUCAAAGAUGCAUCUUUAAGUGAUGAAAAAUGCUGUAGAGGUGAUAUCUUAGGACAUACUUUGGUACACGUAACAUGGAUAUGUUAUAUGCUGUCAUGCUAAUGUUCCUUGCUCUCUAAACAAGCUUUUGAUUUGUACUCCAUCCGUCUCAUAGAGAUAGACGUGCUUUCCUAUUUCGUGUGUCUCAAAAUAUAAGCCACAUUUUUUCUUUUAUUGUUUAUUAUUUUUAUAUUUUGGGUAACUCAGGUGUUCGAGUUUCACUCAACUAAUUUCGAGAAGUGACAACCUUCCCUCUUGGUUUGCUAUUCGGGUAAAUUCGGAUGUGGCUACAGCUUAUACAUAUUUGGACCGGACAUCGGGGAUGCAAUUAUUCCUGUGGAUCGGACUUUCUUUUACGACUUUUGGAUAAGACUCCGGAGGGAUGAUAAAGUAUACCAUAACUCUGUAUCUACAUGACGAUAUCCUUCCAACAUAAACGUUGCCACUUUUCUUAUCAAGAAUGUAGUUGAUUUUUUAUUUUUCUAAUAUGUCCUUAUUUAAUAAGCAUUGUUAUUAACAUAUAUGAACUACUCAUAUUUAAACUAUUAUUGAAUUUAAGAGUAUAUUAGAACAAAUAUUGAGAGAAAAUUAUAUUAAUUACAUUUUCUUAAUCUGUGUAAAAGUGAAAUAAGCCUAUUUUUAUGGGACGGAUGGAGUAUUAUUCUUUUGUUUGUCAAUUUUGAUUCCUUCAUUUCCUUUAGCAUGGCAUUUGUAGCGUCCCAUUUUCUA